AUUGAACGCUGGCGGCAGGCCUAACACAUGCAAGUCGAGCGGAUGAAGGGAGCUUGCUCCUGGAUUCAGCGGCGGACGGGUGAGUAAUGCCUAGGAAUCUGCCUGGUAGUGGGGGAUAACGUCCGGAAACGGGCGCUAAUACCGCAUACGUCCUGAGGGAGAAAGUGGGGGAUCUUCGGACCUCACGCUAUCAGAUGAGCCUAGGUCGGAUUAGCUAGUUGGUGGGGUAAAGGCCUACCAAGGCGACGAUCCGUAACUGGUCUGAGAGGAUGAUCAGUCACACUGGAACUGAGACACGGUCCAGACUCCUACGGGAGGCAGCAGUGGGGAAUAUUGGACAAUGGGCGAAAGCCUGAUCCAGCCAUGCCGCGUGUGUGAAGAGGGUCUUCGGAUUGUAAAGCACUUUAAGUUAGGAGGAAGGGCAGUAAGUUAAUACCUUGCUGUUUUGACGUUACCAACAGAAUAAGCACCGGCUAACUUCGUG
rnacentral:rRNA from 1 species